AAUGAUAAUGGACUCUUAUGAGCUGUGGUGAAACAACAACGACUUCAAUGAUAAUGGACUCUUAUGAGCUGUGGUGAAACAACAACGACUUCAAUGAUAAUGGACUCUUAUGAGCUGUGGUGAAACAACGACGACUUCAAUGAUAAUGGACUCUUAUGAGCUGUAGUGAAACAACAACGACUGCAGCAUGAAAGGAUCAGAUGUGAAGCAGAGGAGAUGGAGGAGAUGGAGGAGCAUGAAGAGAUGGAGGAGAUGGAGGAGGUGAUGGAGGUGAUGGAGGAGAUGGAGGAGAUGGAGGAGCAUGAGGAGAUGGAGGAGCAUGAAGAGCAUGAGGAGAUGGAGGAGAGAGAGGAGAGAGAAGAGAGAGAGGAGCAUGAGGAGAUGGAGGAGCAGGAGGAGAUGGAGGAGCCUGAGGAGAUGGAGGAGCAUGAGGAGAUGGAGGAGAAUGAGGAGAUGGAGGAGCAUGAGGAGAUGGAGGAGGUGGAGGAGAUGGAGGAGAUGGAGGAGAAUGAGGAGAUGGAGGAGCAG
ensembl:lncRNA